CGUACACUCCUGCGGGAGACAGCAGUGGGGAAUAUUGGACAAUGGGCGCAAGCCUGAUCCAGCCAUGCCGCGUGAGUGAUGAAGGCCCUAGGGUUGUAAAGCUCUUUCACCGGUGAAGAUAAUGACGGUAACCGGAGAAGAAGCCCCGGCUAACUUCGUGCCAGCAGCCGCGGUAAUACGAAGGGGGCUAGCGUUGUUCGGAUUUACUGGGCGUAAAGCGCACGUAGGCGGACUAUUAAGUCAGGGGUGAAAUCCCGGGGCUCAACCCCGGAACUGCCUUUGAUACUGGUAGUCUUGAGUUCGAGAGAGGUGAGUGGAAUUCCGAGUGUAGAGGUGAAAUUCGUAGAUAUUCGGAGGAACACCAGUGGCGAAGGCGGCUCACUGGUUCGAUACUGACGCUGAGGUGCGAAAGCGUGGGGAGCAAACAGGAUUAGAAACCCCAGUAGUCCCAUGA
rnacentral:rRNA from 1 species